AUUGAACGCUGGCGGCAGGCCUAACACAUGCAAGUCGAGCGGAUGAAGGGAGCUUGCUCCUGGAUUCAGCGGCGGACGGGUGAGUAAUGCCUAGGAAUCUGCCUGGUAGUGGGGGAUAACGUCCGGAAACGGGCGCUAAUACCGCAUACGUCCUGAGGGAGAAAGUGGGGGAUCUUCGGACCUCACGCUAUCAGAUGAGCCUAGGUCGGAUUAGCUAGUUGGUGGGGUAAAGGCCUACCAAGCGACGAUCCGUAACUGGUCUGAGAGGAUGAUCAGUCACACUGGAACUGAGACACGGUCCAGACUCCUACGGGAGGCAGCAGUGGGGAAUAUUGGACAAUGGGCCAAAUCCUGAUCCAGCCAUGCCGCGUGUGUGAAGAAGGUCUUCGGAUUGUAAAGCACUUUAAGUUGGGAGGAAGGGCAGUAAGUUAAUACCUUGCUGUUUUGACGUUACCAACAGAAUAAGCACCGGCUAACUUCGUG
rnacentral:rRNA from 1 species